UACAGAGGGUGCGAGCGUUGUUCGGAAUUACUGGGCGUAAAGGGCGCGUAGGCGGUCUGCUAAGUUGGAAUGUGGAAAACUCUGGGCUUAACCCAGAGCCUGCAUUCAAUACUGACAGGCUAGAGUUCGUGGAGGGGAUAGCGGAAUUCCUGGUGUAGCGGUGAAAUGCGUAGAUAUCAGGAGGAACACCGGUGGCGAAGGCGGCUAUCUGGACAGAGUCUGACGCUGAGGCGCGAAAGCUAGGGGAGCAAACAGG
rnacentral:rRNA from 1 species